CAUGGUGGAAUAAUACAAGGUGUUGGAUAUUGACAGCGUUCUCGCUCUAAUCCGCCAUCUUGGCUCCCUUAGCUAUAUCAGUGUUUCCCUCUUGAAAAAACUACAUUUUAUCGCCUUUAAAAAAGUACUAAACUACCUCAUUCCCUAUUCCAAAACCGAUUUGCAAUCACUGAACAAUUCUUUGACAUUUACUCUAUUCUUAUCGUUGGCAACUGAAAAUUAAAUUAGAAAUUUCAACAUUAAUUCGGCAAAAAAACAUCGGUUUAGAGUUCUCCCCAAGGAUUUGUAGUUAUUUUGGUCGGUGCUUCCUUCCGCUGCAAUUCCGUCUGUGGUUCACUGCCACUGGCCUUGCUUUUUCAACGAUAUAACUGUUUUCUUGUGAUUUUUGCUGCUGCAAUCCCGUCUGUGGUUCACUGCCUCUGGCCCUGCUUUUCCAACGAUAUAACUGUUUUUUUGGUAACUUCUACCGCUAAGACUUUGUUGCUUUUUCCCUUUUCCCUAAAAACAUAAUAGUGCUACAAAGCUCAAUAACAAUAUGGAAACAAAUGUUAAUAAGCCACAAUAAUAUUGACAAUAAAUAAGAUUUCACUACGA
rnacentral:lncRNA from 1 species